AUUGAACGCUGGCGGCAGGCCUAACACAUGCAAGUCGAGCGGAUGAAGGGAGCUUGCUCCUGGAUUCAGCGGCGGACAGGUGAGUAAUGCCUAGGAAUCUGCCUGGUAGUGGGGGAUAACGUCCGGAAACGGGCGCUAAUACCGCAUACGUCCUGAGGGAGAAAGUGGGGGAUCUUCGGACCUCACGCUAUCAGAUGAGCCUAGGUCGGAUUAGCUAGUUGGUGGGGUAAAGGCCUACCAAGGCGACGAUCCGUAGCUGGUCUGAGAGGAUGAUCAGUCACACUGGAACUGAGACACGGUCCAGACUCCUACGGGAGGCAGCAGUGGGGAAUAUUGGACAAUGGGCGAAAGCCUGAUCCAGCCAUGCCGCGUGUGUGAAGAAGGUCUUCGGAUUGUAAAGCACUUUAAGUUGGGAGGAAGGGCAGUAAGUUAAUACCUUGCUGUUUUGACGUUACCAACAGAAUAAGCACCGGCUAACUUCGUG
rnacentral:rRNA from 1 species